UUACCAUAAAAUAUACUAUGAAAGUGACUUUAAAACUUCUGACUACACGAUAGCUAAGAUCCAAACUGGGAUUAGAUACCCCACUAUGCUUAGCCCUAAACAUAAGCUAUUCCAUAACAAAAUAAUUCGCCAGAGAACUACUAGCUACAGAUUAAACCCUCAAGGACUUGGCAGUGCUUUAUACCCCUCUAGAGGGAGCCUGUUCUAUAAUCGAUAAAACCCGAUAAACCUCACCAUCCCUUGCUAAAGCAGUCUAUUUACCACCAUCUUCAGCAAAUCCUUGAGAGUAGUAAGCACAAUCAUGUCACGUAAAAAAGUUAGGUCAACGUGUAACUCAUGAGAUGGGACGAAAUGGGCUACAUUUUCUACUUUAAGAACAUCUUAUGAAAGUUUUUAUUAAAUUAAAAACCGAAGGAGGAUUUAGUAGUAAAUUAAGAAUAGAGAGCUUAAUUGAAUAGGGCCAUGAAGCACGCACACACCACCUGUCACCCUCCUCAAGUAAAAACUUCACACAUAAUCAUAUUAACUAUACCAAAACACGAGAAGAGAUAAGUCGUAACAAAGUAAGCAUACCGGAAGGUAUGCUUGGAUUAACCAAAGU
rnacentral:ncRNA from 1 species